rnacentral:misc_RNA from 1 species
GAAAUGCGAUACUUGGUGUGAAUUGCAGAAUCCCGUGAACCAUCGAGUCUUUGAACGCACAUUGCGCCCUUUGGUAUUCCUUAGGGCAUGCCUGUUCGAGCGUCAUUUGAACCCUCAAGCUCAGCUUGGUGUUGGGUGCCUGUCCCCGCCCCGCGGGGACUCACCUCAAAAUCAUUGGCGGCCGGUACGUUGGCUUCGAGCGCAGCAGAAACGCGAACUCGGAGCCGGCGGAUCGGCGACCAGAAGUAUCUUCUUCACAGUUUGACCUCGGAUCAGGUAGGGAUACCCGCUGAACUUAA